GUGGGGAAUUUUGGACAAUGGGCGAAAGCCUGAUCCAGCAAUGCCGCGUGUGUGAAGAAGGCCUUCGGGUUGUAAAGCACUUUUGUCCGGAAAGAAAUCUGUCUGGCUAAUACCCGGACGGGAUGACGGUACCGGAAGAAUAAGCACCGGCUAACUACGUGCCAGCAGCCGCGGUAAUACGUAGGGUGCGAGCGUUAAUCGGAAUUACUGGGCGUAAAGCGUGCGCAGGCGGUUUUGUAAGACCGAUGUGAAAUCCCCGGGCUUAACCUGGGAACUGCAUUGGUGACUGCAAGGCUAGAGUGCGUCAGAGGGGGGUGGAAUUCCGCGUGUAGCAGUGAAAUGCGUAGAGAUGCGGAGGAACACCGAUGGCGAAGGCAGCCCCCUGGGAUGACACUGACGCUCAUGCACGAAAGCGUGGGGAGCAAACAGGAUUAGAAACCCUUGUAGUCC
rnacentral:rRNA from 1 species